AGAGUUUGAUCCUGGCUCAGGAUGAACGCUAGCGACAGGCUUAACACAUGCAAGUCGAGGGGCAGCACAGGGUAGCAAUACUUGGGUGGCGACCGGCGCACGGGUGAGUAACGCGUAUGCAACUUACCUAUCAGAGGGGGAUAGCCCGGCGAAAGUCGGAUUAAUACCCCAUGAAACAGGGGUCCCGCAUGGGAAUAUUUGUUAAAGAUUCAUCGCUGAUAGAUAGGCAUGCGUUCCAUUAGGCAGUUGGCGGGGUAACGGCCCACCAAACCGACGAUGGAUAGGGGUUCUGAGAGGAAGGUCCCCCACAUUGGUACUGAGACACGGACCAAACUCCUACGGGAGGCAGCAGUGAGGAAUAUUGGUCAAUGGACGCAAGUCUGAACCAGCCAUGCCGCGUGCAGGAUGACGGCUCUAUGAGUUGUAAACUGCUUUUGUACGAGGGUAAACGCAGAUACGUGUAUCUGUCUGAAAGUAUCGUACGAAUAAGGAUCGGCUAACUCCGUGCCAGCAGCCGCGGUAAUACGGAGGAUUCAAGCGUUAUCCGGAUUUAUUGGGUUUAAAGGGUGCGUAGGCGGUUUGAUAAGUUAGAGGUGAAAUUUCGGGGCUCAACCCUGAACGUGCCUCUAAUACUGUUGAGCUAGAGAGUAGUUGCGGUAGGCGGAAUGUAUGGUGUAGCGGUGAAAUGCUUAGAGAUCAUACAGAACACCGAUUGCGAAGGCAGCUUACCAAACUAUAUCUGACGUUGAGGCACGAAAGCGUGGGGAGCAAACAGGAUUAGAUACCCUGGUAGUCCACGCAGUAAACGAUGAUAACUCGUUGUCGGCGAUACACAGUCGGUGACUAAGCGAAAGCGAUAAGUUAUCCACCUGGGGAGUACGUUCGCAAGAAUGAAACUCAAAGGAAUUGACGGGGGCCCGCACAAGCGGAGGAACAUGUG
rnacentral:rRNA from 1 species